GAAGAAGAACAGCGGAUGCGCACGGCGCUAGAAGGCUCGGUGAAGUCGUCCACCUCCGGCCCGUCCCCUUCCCUUCCACGCCACACGCUCCCGCAAGCACGCACACGCAUCUCGCUGUUGGUGGCGUGCCCGCAAGAUGCGGCGUACGCGACUACCGCGAAUGUACCUGCCGAAGGUUCCCCAAAAGGACCCGAACGCGCACCCACUGCAGGUGCAAAACUCGCAGCAUUUUCUGCGCACGGCCGGCGUCGGCGCGAUAUUGACGGUGAUUCUGUCGGUCUUCUUGGCGCUCCGCCAAGUGCAACAGCGAAGUCGCUUGUCGGAGAAGGAGCUGCUACGCAAGCGAAAAGGGCAGCGCGUCGUCAUUAUCGGAGGUGGCGCUGGCGGGUCCGCCGUGGCGGCGCUCAUCGCAAAUUCCGCGCCAGACUUGAAGAUCACGGUGAUUGAGAAGGAUAAGCAGCAGGUCUUCCUGGGACAUGUCCCCCUCGCCCACGUCGGCCACCGCAGCUACGACAUCGCCACGUCGACAGGCGUGGACAUCGUCCGCUCCCCUGCGGCGUGGAACGUGACCCGGGACGCCAACCUCGUUGCUGCGGAGGUGCUGCGUGUGGACCCAGACGCAAAAAAGGUAUUCGUGCGCACCACCAAAGCCAUGCUGGCCGCCGCAACUGUCCCCAGCUCAGACGACGCAAGCGAGCGCCACCCACGUUGGGGGAUCGACCUCCUGCGUCGCUGCUGGCCCAGUCUUCGUCUGCAGGUGUCGACCGUCUCCAUCAACAACGACGGCAGCACCAACCUCUCGGACGGCACAACGAUGUUUUCGUACGAUGCGUUGGUGGUCGCCGCCGGUGCGCACCGCUCGCUCGGGAGCUUGGCGGGCCAGGUGCAGCCUGGUCAGCUGGACACCCACCGCAUCGCCGUCAACCCUGGUACAACGCGAGACAACCUGGUGAACCUCUUCUCAGGCAAUGUGCUGCACGUGAAGGUGCCACCUGCCUCGUUUGUGCUGCAGAUGGAGGCGGCGCGUGCGUUGAUGACAGCACCACACGCGGCGUCAGGCAGCGGUGUGCCGAGCCUUGACCUGGGCACGACCAUCAGUCCAGCGCUGCGUACGCCGCCGCCGACGGCGGCUCCUUCAACCAGACCCUCCCCUGCAGAAGCACACACGUUUUCUGUGCCCACCUCGCUGGCCCGCUGGUUUGGCACGUUGCGCGCCGCGAUCGCCUCACCUGAAGCGGCAGACGCCGCGCUCAUCCCAGACGAAGUGGCCGAGCGUGUGCGCCCUGUGUCCGGCCUGGCCACCACGGUCUCUCCGUUGGACACACUGGCGCAGUGGUGCAUGCACUACAGCAGCCGCCAGCAUGACAGCACUUUUGUGUCAAGCGUCAACACCAUCUGGAAGUACCUCCACUACUACAACAAACUGAGCCUUUGCCACUACAUGGCGGUGACAGCUGAUCCACAGCCGAUAGGACCGGCGCCGCGAGCGGUGAACGAGGUCAUCGAGAAGUUCUGGCGAGAGCGGCAGCUGGCGUGCCAGCAGCACAGCGGCGGUGUUGCAGAGCGUUUCCAUCUCCUCUUUCACAGCUACUUGGCCGCUGUAGACACCGCAGCCAACGUGGCGACGCUGUACGACUACAGGAAUAAUGUAGAGGUGCGCGUGCCGUACAACUUACUGGUGCUCGACCUCCCGCUCUGCGCACCGUCGUUUGUGCGCCAGAGCGGUCUGCAUCGCAUGCGUUACGUAGACGAGUGCGUGAUGCCCGCGCUGCGGCGCGGCAUAGACGAGGUCGCGGCACAGCAGCUGCGCAGGCAUCCGCUUCUUCGUAAAACAAAGAAGGAGCUGGAGGCGUUCUUCGCGGACGAGGCGUCGUUCAUGGACGUGGACCACGAAACCUUGCAGCACCGCCGUUACGCAGAGAUCUUCGCGCUUGGCGACGUGGCUGGUGUUCCGUCAUUGAAGAGCUACGGCGCAGUGUCUGCUCAAGUUCCUGUCGUUGCCCAUAACGUUCAACAAGUGCUGGCCAGCCAGAGAGCGCAGGCUCAGCAGGACCGAGACUUGGUGGAGCUUCCACGCAGCGAGACUUCUGCUGCGGUGGCACCGGCGCCGGUGCUGCCAAAGGCGAAUGCCAAGUACACGGGCUACUCCUCGUUUCACGUGGUAAUGACCACCUGGCGGGCGAUGUGGCCUGAGAUGUGCUAUGAUGAGCCACAGACGGAGCUGAGGUGCUGCUCGCAAUCGUCGUCGCCGGCCGACUUGGCGGAGGCCGCUACCAAACGGGGGCUGGAUGUGGUUGCCCCUCUCGCGCACUGCGAUCAUCACCUGUGGGACAGCCUUGCCUGGCGGGACCUGCGUGGCUUCCUGAAUGGCCUCUUCCACGAGCUUGCCCUCUACGAGGUGAUGUACUUCUUCAUCUUCAGCCGUGGGCUGUGGCACUCGCCGUCGUGGUUUUACGUGCCGACGUACUCCCCGAUCGACGGCACACCGCGCGUUCCCACGUGGAAGGACCUCCUUUGAGUGGUGCAAACGUCACGGAAAGCGGACGGAGAGGGAGCAGCGGCGGACAGCGGUGUGUCACGAUUUUUGCAUGUGUGUGCUCCACUGGCACAAAGUGCCGGGGCUCGAUAAAGUCGUCGUCGUUUUUUGUUGCUCGGUUACUCCCCAG
rnacentral:misc_RNA from 1 species